GGCUUGGACCUAGAUAGGUCAAUUCUAUAGGGUUAAGACCAACCCUUGAGUACUGUGAAAUGGAUUCCGGAAUCCUAGGACUUGUGGAACACCAAGAGUGGUGUGGGGUGUGUGCGACGAUUUCGCCGCCCGGGGCUAAAGAACCAUUGUCGUGGCAUGUGCGACGAUUUCGCCGCCGGAUGGUUGAGCCGGUUUGUGGAUUAUGCCGCAGGGUGACUUGAGCCAGUGCUAAGCGUGUGCGACGACUUCGCCGCCGGGUGGCUAAGUCAUUGAGUACGGUAAGUUGUUGAGCAGCCAGGGUGCGGACUAUCCGCAAAGGAUUGACUCAAGACCGAGUCGAGUGACAUAGAUGGCUAAGGUAUGAGCAACCUUAGGAAAGAAUCGCCAAUGAGCGUAAUAUGACCAAGUAAAGACUAGAGAAAAGCUAAUGAUCG
rnacentral:lncRNA from 1 species